rnacentral:rRNA from 1 species
UGGGCAACCUGCCCCAGACACAGGGAUAACCCCGGGGAAACCGGGGCUAAUACCGGAUACUCCGGUCGAACCGCAUGGCUCGAUCGGGAAAGCUCCGACGGUCUGGGAUGGGCCCGCGGCCUAUCAGCUGGUUGGUGAGGUAAUAGCUCACCAAGGCGAUGACGGGUAGCCGGCCUGAGAGGGUGACCGGCCACACUGGGACUGAGAUACGGCCCAGACUCCGUACGGGAG